AACUACAUCCCUUUGCCAAACCUGAUGUUUUUUCACGGUUACUAUUCCCUUUCCUUCUGUUACACGAUUGAAAUUCCUGUCCCCCACGUUUUGAUUCAUUGUUUCAGGCUUAGUCCCUUCCCCUUCCCCACCUUUUGAUUCUCACGGUUUCAGCUUCUGUUCUACUGUUUCACUCACGGUUUCAUCUUCCUGUUCCACGGUUUCAGCUUCUGUUUCGGCUUCUAACGGCAGCCCCUCUUUCUUCCUUCCUUCCUUCCUCUCCUCACAUCUAUAUAAAUACUGACGUAAGUGGGUGGUUCAGUUGAGGUAUCCCUACAUCCCAAUUUCUUUUGUGCACUAUUCUUUUGCUUGAUGGUUCUUUUCCCUUUCUACGUUUGUUUCUGGCUAGGGUGUUGAAUUUGUUUCCACUGGGUUAUUUAAUUGGAGCACUUCUUCUUUUGGGUGUUGAAUUUGUUACUGCUGAGUUAUUUAAUUGGAGCACUGCUUCUUUUAGGUCAGGGACUAAUUAUUAAGGAGGUAAAUGCCACCAUCUUCUCAUGAAUUACUAAGGUUCCCAAGCCAUCUAAAAUGGGUGAUUGUAGACCUAUCUAUAUUGUAACAUAAUAUAUAAAUGCAUUACUACAGUCUGGGCCAAUAGGAUUUAAGCCUUGGCUUAAGUAUAUUGAUUGGUCAGCACCAAACCACACUUGUCAUGGGAAGGAAUAUCGAAGAGAAUGUUCUCUUAAUGAAAGACAUGAGGGAUGCUGUGUGCUUUGUAAAUUGUACAGCUCAUGGCUGUAUGAAAUGGUGGCUAUUAAAUUAGUAUAGAGUUUGUGUUUUCUUUUUUAUGAGAUCCAUUGUGAAUUUUUUCCACUAAUUUUGAUGGUUCUCCAAUAUUUAUGUGCUGCCUUAAACAACUGACUGUUUAAGCCCUUCAAAUUCGUCCUUUUGUACUCCACUAUAAUAAUUAAUUUAAAAGAAAAGAAUCUGAAUCCUAUUUCUCUUUCCUAUGAAUCAUAGGCUAUGAUGUUACUUAAGAUAUUUCUGAAAUCCUCUUAGCUCUUCUUUUUUUUG